AUCAGCUGUGAUGUCAUGUUUAGGUUGAAUACAACGUCUUUUCACGUGGUCAGUAGUUGUGCUCCGUGUUGACAGCACUUUAACGACGCACCAGAGCUGUUUGUACACAAGAGGAGCGGUGUAACGAGUUAAUCCUCUCUGCGGUUUCACUGACUUCAAACAUAAUUACCAUCACAACGCAGGAUAACACACUGUACAUCUCUUUGUCUGUGAAUGAGUUCUGACAUUAAAAAUUUAUAUAUAUAUCUUCACGAACAGCCCAUGUAACAUAUAUAUCAUCAAAUAUUCACUUACUUGCUGUAAUAACGAGUCUUUGUGGUUCAUAUUUUCUCUCCAUCAUCAAGGACUUCAUCUUCAUCAAUGGGGAAGUUAAAAACUUAAACGUGACAUGACAAUGAUAUAAAACGGAGAACUUUUAGAAGCUGGAAGUGAAGAAUGUUUUGGGUUUUUGGUUUGUAAUCGACCUCAGAUACUCGCAGCUGUCUGUCAUUCGGCGUUUAAAGGCGAUCCUGCGAUCACAGCUUCAGCAAAUGCACGAGAAACCAAUUAAUGCAUGCGGCGCACACCAAUCACACGGGUGCCCCGACACGCCGCUGCUGGUGAUUCCUCAACGUUUUCUCACUGACCAUGAAUUAUGCGAAGAUGUCCUCAUAACAAGAUUUCUAAUUUGAGCCAAGAGAGUGUCACUGUUAAUUGAUGAAGUCACCGUGUCUGCCCGAGAAACAGUCGCCAACAGAAACCCGCCAUAAAACCAAGUGUCACUGUUUUAUGCUUCCAGUCUUUAUGCUACGCUGAUGGAGAGAGAGGGCUGCAGGUGUCGUCAUCGGACUCACUGCUGGAAAAGGAAAUGCACAUCUUUUCCCAUAACCGUUGAUCAGAAAGAGGUUUUUCUAUUUUUGCGACAGUGAUUUGUGACGGUUUUUGGAAAAGUGGUGAAGCUAAUAACGAUGAAUUUUGUCACUUAACUUGGUGGAUUAGUCGGUAAUUUGAGCCGGCAACUGAAAAAAAAUGAAAUAAAAUGUCGUUAAUUUGAA